GACAGAGGAUGCAAGCGUUAUCCGGAAUGAUUGGGCGUAAAGCGUCUGUAGGUGGCUUUUCAAGUCCGCCGUCAAAUCCCAGGGCUCAACCCUGGACAGGCGGUGGAAACUGCCAAGCUGGAGUACGGUAGGGGCAGAGGGAAUUUCCGGUGGAGCGGUGAAAUGCGUAGAGAUCGGAAAGAACACCAGCGGCGAAAGCGCUCUGCUGGGCCGGCACUGACACUGAGAGACGAAAGCUAGGGGAGCGAAUGGG
rnacentral:rRNA from 1 species